GAUUAAAACAAUCAUGAAGACUAAGCCUCUAAACUAAAGAUUCAGAUCUGACCAGAGAACAAGACUUUAUGUUAGUGUCCUCCGGAAACCACUGUUGGAAAUGCAUUGCUGCGUACCAAAUGUAAUGUUAAGGCAGGGCUUGACAUUCAGGUCAAAUGUAAUGUUAAGGCAGGGCUUGACAUUCAGGUCAAAUGUAAUGUUUAGGCAGGGCUUGACAUUCAGGUCAAAUGUAAUGUUUAGGCAGGGCUUGACAUUCAGGUCAGUUUGGCCGAAUGAAAGAAAUACUGGCACCAGUCAACAUCUGGCAGGCAAGUGAAUGAUGAGCAUCAAUUCAACAGCUAGUGAUUUUAUCUUUCAUUUGGGCUGAGCAAGUAGCCUACAGGAUUUAUACAGACAUUGGGAAGUUAAAUUCAAUGAUUUUUCGGGCAGUUAAUUGUAAUUUUGAAGGACUUACAUUUUAUAUUGAAUUGUCAUAGCCUAUCGAAAUAAAUCCCCUCAAAACUAGUAAGCAAACCAGUAUGCAUAACAACUUAGAGAAUAAUGCGUGUUUUAUUACGCCUUCCACGUGGCAUUAUGCAAUGACAUAAACAUACUUUACAUUCUAAAACCUGUCAGAAUAAAGCAGACAUUAUCUGACUAAUAGACUGUAUGGAGAUGCUCCCAACACAAACACACUAAUGAUGUCUGUGGCAUGAAAUGUUGAGGAUUUAUUGUAUCAUGUUUUAAAACAGUAAAAACCGGGUUCCCCUUGUAACGGAACGAUGUGUAUGGAAAACCAAGUUGAAGCCAACAUUCCACUGGUUGUCUUGCUCAUAAUCACUGCACGUGGUUUUACCAUAAAGAUGGCAACAGACCUGCGCGGGAAACAAAUGAAAGCGGAUAGAUCUCUCAUAAAAAAUGAUCAGAAAUAAAUUCAAUCAAGGAAUAAUUAAAUUGCAGUGCAACUUCUAAAUCGGCUACCUUCAAUGACUUAUCUAGGACCAAAUAGCCUCGAAGAGAGGUCUGAUUAUCAAGUUAGGCUAUUCUAUGAUGACAAUUGCGCAAAGGAACGUUUUAUUGCAGGUUUGCAUACCCAUACUUGCCUUAGCAUGUAUUGGUAUUUAUCAGAACCUUGAAGAUGUUCCCUGUCGCUGUCGGUCUUCAGUGAGCUGCUCCACACAACAAUCUCAAGCUAGGCUUAAUGUGUAGUUUAUGGCGCGCGUGUGAUAAAUAAUCAACAUAACGAACUCACAGCUUCAGGAAUUCUUUAUUAUAUAGCCUAGAUUUAAUAUAGCAUUUUUACAAUAUUUAUUUUCAGCAACUGGCCCUGAGGGUUUCCAAAACCUCCCCGGGCCAGCGGGCAGAAUGUCAGGCCCUGGUUAAGGUGUUAAAUGAUAGGUCAUUGAAGGUGUAUGGAUGCGGUUGAGGGUAGUAUGCUGUGUUACAUAGACUUUUCAUGUUCAUGUGGCCAUUAUGGAAUUGGUGGAGGUGGUUCAGUUUGAGAUAGAUGGCCUUUGGUAAUUAUAUCCAGACAGCAUUCCACCAACAGAUGACAUGAAUUACUUUUCAAAAAUAGGUUUUCACAUUAGACAAGAGUUUUAGACCAACAGCUUUGCUUACAAGCCACUAUAGUCAGUUAUGAGGUAGGGCUCCAUCCAGUAUCACUAGGUCUGUCAGAGACAUUAUCUAAGUAGAACUGCUUUCAAAAUGGAGGACUAAACACGUGCAAGUCUUAGUAAUUCUGGCAUAAUGAUGUGCUUUAGCAUUGAGAUCCUUCAGACGUUUACAUAGUGUUGCCAGAGUAUAAUAUAUGCCAUUAAGCAGACAAUUUUAUCCAAAUUGACUUAGUCAUGCAUCAUGAUGUAUUUGUGGCUCCAGCAGGACUCAAACCCACGAUCCUUGGAGUUGCAAGCACCAUGCUCUACCAACUGAGUCACACAGCCAGGGUGUUAUCUGAUCCAUAGUGGUACUACACAUGGAGAUAGGAGAGAUCUAAUUAUCGAUGGUGAUGCUUCAGUAUGCUACAGAGAAGUUGUAAAGACUGGAAUGGAAUUAAUGGAACACAUGGAAACCAUGUUUGAUUCCAUACAUUUCAAUGAGCCCGUCCUCCUAUAGCUCCUCCUACCAGCCUCCUCUGUUUCAUACUGAAGCAUGGUAUGCUACGUAGUGUUAAAUACUCCUCACAGCCUGCAACUAUCAUGGUCAUUGUUACUCAGUCUAAUCAAUGACUAUCAAUCAGAAGUAGUGAUACUUAGAAUGUAUGUGAGUGGAAAUUCAUAGAUUUUCUAAAAUUUAUGCUAUUAGUCCGUGUGCUCUUGAAGACCCCCCUCAGAGCGGCUUGUGCCUUUGACAUGACAUGCUGUCAAGAUUAGUUUUAUAUGCUAUAUUCUGUACCUACACUCACUACAGUUUGCCAUCACAAUAUCACCAAGUGUUUAAAAAUGGUUCAGAACAGCAUUAUUGAAACCAAACAAACCCAGCAUCCCUUUCCUCAAAUAAAUCUAUACAAAACAUA